rnacentral:lncRNA from 1 species
AUGAUAAGAAAUAAGUAAUGAGCGUGGAGUUAAUCAUGGCUUGGUGCUUGUUAUACAUAUGUUUAUGAAAUUAAAUAUAAAAUUUAACGCUUGAAUUGUUAUAAUAAUUUAGAUUCAAAACUAGUUUUACCAAUUAGUCAAUUGGUAUAUUAUCAAAGUAAAAAAAAAAAAAAAAAAAAAAAAAAAAAAUACUCGCAAAUUCGGGAUUUGCAA